rnacentral:pre_miRNA from 9 species
UCUCGAUAGCGUAAAAGUUAAGUCAAAUUUGUAUGGAGUUGGAACGUUUGUCUACGUUUGCCGCAAGGAGCGUUGUUCUAACUGCAUACAAAUUGGGUUAACUUUAACGCUAUCGA